rnacentral:rRNA from 1 species
AUUGAACGCUGGCGGCAGGCCUAACACAUGCAAGUCGAGCGGAUGAAGGGAGCUUGCUCCCUGAUUUAGCGGCGGACGGGUGAGUAAUGCCUAGGAAUCUGCCUGGUAGUGGGGGAUAACGUUCCGAAAGGAACGCUAAUACCGCAUACGUCCUACGGGAGAAAGCAGGGGACCUUCGGGCCUUGCGCUAUCAGAUGAGCCUAGGUCGGAUUAGCUAGUUGGUGAGGUAAUGGCUCACCAAGGCGACGAUCCGUAACUGGUCUGAGAGGAUGAUCAGUCACACUGGAACUGAGACACGGUCCAGACUCCUACGGGAGGCAGCAGUGGGGAAUAUUGGACAAUGGGCGAAAGCCUGAUCCAGCCAUGCCGCGUGUGUGAAGAAGGUCUUCGGAUUGUAAAGCACUUUAAGUUGGGAGGAAGGGCAGUAAGCUAAUACCUUGCUGUUUUGAC